rnacentral:rRNA from 1 species
AUUGAACGCUGGCGGCAGGCCUAACACAUGCAAGUCGAGCGGAUGAUGGGAGCUUGCUCCUGGAUUCAGCGGCGGACGGGUGAGUAAUGCCUAGGAAUCUGCCUGGUAGCGGGGGAUAACGUCCGGAAACGGGCGCUUAUACCGCAUACGUCGUGUGAGAGCAAGUGGGGGGUCUUCGGACGUCUUGCUAUCAGAUUAGGAUAGAACGGAUUAGCUAGUUGGUGGGGUAAAGGCCUACCGAGGAGACGAUCCGUAACUGGUCUGAGAGGAUGAUCCGUCACACUGGAACUGAGACAGGGUCCAGACUCCUGCGGGAGGCAGCAGUGGGGAAUAUUGGACGAGGGGGGAGAGGCGGAUCCAGCCAUGCGGCGUGUGUGAAGAAGGUCUUCGGAUUGUAAAGCACUGUAAGUUGGGGGGAAGGGCAGUAAGUUAAUACCUUGCUGUUUUGACGUUACCAACAGAAUAAGCACCGGCUAACUUCGUG